ensembl:misc_RNA 7SK 7SK RNA
GAUGUGAGGGUGAUCUGGCUGCAACAUCUGUCACCCCAUUGAUCGCCGGGGUUGAUCCAGCUGAUCUGGCUGGCUAGGCGGGUGUCCUCUUCCUCUCUCAACUAUC